CCUACGGGAGACAGCAGUGGGGAAUAUUGCACAAUGGGGGAAACCCUGAUGCAGCGACGCCGCGUGAGUGAAGAAGUAAUUCUUUACGUAAAGCUCUAUCAGCAGGGAAGAAACACUGACCUUACGGUCAGCAGACGGUACCUGAGUAAGAAGCCCCGGCUAACUACGUGCCAGCAGCAGCGGUAAUACGUAGGGGGCAAGCGUUAUCCGGAGUUACUGGGGGUAAAGGGAGCGUAGACGGUGCGACAAGUCUGGAGUGAAAUGCCGCAGCUUAACUGCGGAAGUGCUUUGGAAACUGGCGAGCUAGAGAGCAGGAGGGGUAGGCGGAAUUCAUAGUGUAGCGGUGAAAUGCGUAGAUAUUAGGAGGAACACCGAUGGCGAAGGCGGCUUACUGGACCGUAACUGACGUUGAGGCUCGAAAGCGUGGGGAGCAAACAGGAUUAGAUACCCUGGUAGUC
rnacentral:rRNA from 1 species